rnacentral:rRNA from 1 species
AUUGAACGCUGGCGGCAGGCCUAACACAUGCAAGUCGAGCGGAGGAAGGGCGCUUGCUCCUGGGUUCAGCGGCGGACGGGAGAGUAAGGCCUAGGAAUGUGCCUGGUAGUGGGGAAUAACGUCAGGAAACGGGCGCUAAUACCGCAUACGCUCUGAGGACGAAAGUGGGGGAUACUCGGACAUGGCGGUAGCAGAUGAGCCUAGGUCGGAGUAGCGAGUUGGCGGGGUAAAGGCCUACCCAGGGGGCGAUCCGUAACUGGUCUGAGAGGAUGAACAGGCACACUGGCACUGAGGCACGGCCCCGACUCCUACGGGGGGCCGCAGUGGGGAAUCUUACACGAUGGGCGAGUGCCUGAUCCUGCACUGCCGCGUGAGUGCAGAUGGUCUUCGGCUUGGUGAGCGAAUUAAUUUUGGAGUAAGGGCAGUAAGUUCAUCCCUUGCUGUUUUGACGGUACCAGCAGAAUAAGCCCCGGCUAACUUCGUG